rnacentral:lncRNA from 1 species
GUUUGAUGUGAUCAGAUUCCGCAUCAAAAUGGCCUCUAUUAUAGAGAGCCACUAGAUGCCUUGAGUGUGAUAUGACUUGCCAGACAAUGCUAUAAGUCUGGUGACAUGGCUUCUAGAGAAUAGUGAAGAGAGUAUGAGACACAAGAAAGGCUUGGUAUUUGGUACCAAGGAGGCACGAGUGAUACACUCGACGAGUGGACACAAGGAUGCGGAUCAGAUUGACGAGCUUGGCUAGCAGGAGCCUUCCAUGGGGCCGGUGGUGGAGCCAGCGAGUGUAGCGGUAGCGAUCGUGACUCACUGACGACGAUGGCUUCACUAGAGGUAGGACGGCUGAGCAGCUCGUAGAGUACUUGAGUUCUUUGGGUCUUUUGUGAUGGUUUGAAGGUUGUUGUCCAAGUGGGAGAAUGUUAGAGUCCCUAUGUAUGUACAAAGCCUUCCUUGUAUUGGGGGCCGAAAGAGCCCACCCUCAAAGGUGUAUUUAUUGUGACCUGUGAGUCACCUAAUGAUCAUAGUCGUUCAACUCCUCUUCCGGGGUUUAUGACUGAUCGUCUUGUAUGUACCGAACCCCUUGGAGG